AACGAACGCUGGCGGCAGGCCUAACACAUGCAAGUCGAACGCCCCGCAAGGGGAGUGGCAGACGGGUGAGUAACACGUGGGAACCUUCCCAACAGUACGGAAUAGCCCAGGGAAACUUGGAGUAAUACCGUAUAUUCCCGAGAGGGGAAAGAUUUAUCGCUGUUGGAUGGGCCCGCGUCGGAUUAGCUAGUUGGUGAGGUAACGGCUCACCAAGGCGACGAUCCGUAGCUGGUUUGAGAGAAUGACCAGCCACACUGGGACUGAGACACGGCCCUGACUCCUACGGGAGGCAGCAGUGGGGAAUCUUGGACAAUGGGCGCAAGCCUGAUCCAGCCAUGCCGCGUGAGUGACGAAGGCCUUAGGGUUGUAAAGCUCUUUUGCCGGGGACGAUAAUGACGGUACCCGGAGAAUAAGUCCCGGCUAACUUCGUGCCAGCCGCCGCAGUAAUAC
rnacentral:rRNA from 1 species